UAUGUUGAGACGCGGCAGACGGCUCAGUAACACGUGGCUAACCUACCCUCAGGACAAGGAUAAACCCGGGAAACUGGGGCUAAUACUUGAUAGGCGAAGAUGUCUGGAAUGAUUAUUCACCUAAAGGGCUUUAGAAACAUGCUUCUAAAGUCGCCUGAGGAUGGGGCCGCGUCCGAUCAGGUUGUUGGUGAGGUAACGGCUCACCAAGCCUAUAACCGGUACGGGCCGUGAGAGCGGUAGCCCGGAGAUGGGUACUGAGACAAGGACCCAGGCCCUACGGGGCGCAGCAGUCGCGAAAACUCCGCAAUGCACGAAAGUGUGACGGGGCUACCCCGAGUGCCAUCCGCUGAGGGUGGCUUUUCUUUGGUAUAACUAGCCAGGGGAAUAAGGAGAGGGCAAGACUGGUGUCAGCCGCCGCGGUAAUACCAGCUCUCCGAGUGGUAGGGAUGAUUAUUGGGCUUAAAGCGUCCGUAGCCGGCUUAACAAGUCUCCUGUUAAACUCAGCGACCUAAUCGUUGAAUCGCGGGAGAUACUAUUAGGCUAGGAGGCGGGAGAGGUCGACGGUACUUCUGGGGUAGGGGUGAAAUCCUAUAAUCCCAGGAGGACCACCAGUGGCGAAGGCUGUUGACUAGAACGCGCUCGACGGUGAGGGACGAAAGCUGGGGGAGCGAACCGGAUUAGAUACCCGGGUAGUCCCAGCCGUAAACGAUGCGGGCUAGGUGUUGGGAUGGCUACGUGCCAUUUCAGUGCCGCAGGGAAGCCAUUAAGCCCGCCGCCUGGGGAGUACGGCCGCAAGGCUGAAACUUAAAGGAAUUGGCGGGGGAGCACCACAAGGCG
rnacentral:rRNA from 1 species